rnacentral:rRNA from 1 species
ACGCUCGACACCUACGGGAGGUAGCAGUGGGGAAUAUUGCACAAUGGGGGAAACCCUGAUGCAGCGACGCCGCGUGAGCGAAGAAGUAUUUCGGUAUGUAAAGCUCUAUCAGCAGGGAAGAAAAUGACGGUACCUGACUAAGAAGCCCCGGCUAACUACGUGCAGCAGCCGCGGUAAUCUGAGCGGGCUGGCAAGGC